AACGAACGCUGGCGGCAUGCCUUACACAUGCAAGUCGAACGGCAGCGGACCUUCGGGUGCCGGCGAGUGGCGAACGGGUGAGUAAUAUAUCGGAACGUACCUUUCAGUGGGGGAUAACGUAGCGAAAGUUACGCUAAUACCGCAUAUUCUGUGAGCAGGAAAGCAGGGGAUCGCAAGACCUUGCGCUGAUUGAGCGGCCGAUAUCAGAUUAGCUAGUUGGCGGGGUAAAGGCCCACCAAGGCGACGAUCCGUAGCUGGUCUGAGAGGAUGAUCAGCCACACUGGAACUGAGACACGGUCCAGACUCCUACGGGAGGCAGCAGUGGGGGAAUAUUGGACAAUGGGGGCAACCCUGAUCCAGCCAUGCCGCGUGUGUGAAGAAGGCCUCGGUUGUAAG
rnacentral:rRNA from 1 species